CCCAGACUCCUACGGGAGGCAGCAGUGGGGAAUAUUGCACAAUGGGCGAAAGCCUGACCCAGCAACGCCGCGUGAAGGAAGAAGGCUUUCGGGUUGUAAACUUCUUUUGUCAGGGACGAAGCAAGUGACGGUACCUGACUAAGAAGCCCCGGCUAACUACGUGCCAGCAGCCGCGGUAAUACGUAGGGGGCAAGCGUUAUCCGGAUUUACUGGGUGUAAAGGGAGCGUAGACGGCAUGGCAAGUCUGGUGUGAAAGGCAGGGGCUCAACCCCUGGACUGCUCUGGAAACUGUUGUACUUGAGUGCAGGAGAGGUAAGUGGAAUUCCUAGUGUAGCGGUGAAAUGCGUAGAUAUUAGGAGGAACACCAGUGGCGAAGGCGGCUUACUGGACUGUAACUGACGUUGAGGCUCGAAAGCGUGGGGAGCAAACAGGAUUAGAUACCCGAGUA
rnacentral:rRNA from 1 species